GAUGAACGCUGGCGGCGUGCUUAACACAUGCAAGUCGAACGAAGCACUUUAUUUGAUUUCCUACGGGAAUGAUUAUUUUGUGACUGAGUGGCGGACGGGUGAGUAACGCGUGGGUAACCUGCCAUGUACAGGGGGAUAACAGAUGGAAACGGCAGCACAUACCGCAUAAGCGCACAGCAUCGCAUGAUGCAGUGUGAAAAACUCCGGUGGUAUAAGAGGGAACUGAGUUGGUUUAGCUAGUAGGUGAGGUAACGGCCCACAAAGGUUACGCUCCAUAGCCGACACUGGAGGGUGACCGGCCACAUUGGGACUGGGACACGGCCCAAACUCUUACGGGAGGAAGAAGUGGUGAAUAUGGCACGAUGCGCGAGAGACUGAGGUAUCGACGCCGUGAGAGCGAAUAAGUAUUGCAGAAUGUAAAGCUCUAUCAGCAGCGAAGAUAGUGACGGUACCUGACUAAGAAGCACCGGCUAAAUACGUG
rnacentral:rRNA from 1 species